AUAGGCUUUUCAUCUGUAUAGUCCAGAUGUCUCAAAUCCUUUAAUCUAUUUGUAAUUCUUGGUUUUUAUGAUUCCAUCUAUAUAUUUCCACUCAAGAUACAAAAAUACUUAACUCUAGUCGAUUGAUAAUCACUCCAACAAUAUCGAUAACUAUAACACUGCCGAUGAUUCACAAUACCUCUUAAUUAUACUUUUCUACUUUGGUAAGAGUCCAGAAUAAUAAGACAGAAUGAAUAGUACCGAUCGAAAUAUGAAGAUCAACUAAAUAAACUGUUCAGGAGAAUCAUACCUCUUUUUUUGCCAAUAACAAAAGAUGGACGAUGAAACUUCGAUACAAGAAUUCCCUUUUCAACCUGGUUUGAUGCGUGUGCAAGAGCACGGAGAAAUUCUAAAAAAUAUUUUAAAAGUUAAUACAUACAAUUUUUGGAAUGAAAUUUUUUCCAUAAUUCCACAAUGGAAUUAUGGAAAAAAUCCCAAUGAGAUUCACAACAAAAACGGAACGGUCUCCACGGAAUUCGUAUUUUUAGUCAGUUAUUGAUGGAGCAAAUCUUUUUAAGAACUCUAGGAAAUGGGAAAGCGCAGCAUUCUUUUCUCAUAUGCAAAAAAAAUCUGAUUUUAAAGAACUUUUUAAAAAUCUGGAAAAAUUAGAAUUUUCUUAAAUUGCUAGGUCCUUCCAGAUCCGCCC
rnacentral:lncRNA from 1 species